rnacentral:lncRNA from 1 species
UUUAAAUUCCUUGGUUACUCUUCAAAAUUUCCAACCUGUAGAGCAACAAUGUGGUAAAGGCAAAGUCAAACAAGACUCUAUAGCAUGCUUCUACAUACAAGUGACAUGUCAAACACAAUGCAGAGAAGUCCCUAUGAACAUGCUUUCUAACACAUUAGGCACUCAAUAAAUAAUUAAUUACAUCAUUUUAGACACUUACCUGUAAGCAGCAGUAAGAGGAGAGAUUAAGUAUAAGAAACCCAAGUAGUUGUAACAGUGAAAUAAAGCAGGAUGUUCCCAAGGAGCCUCAUCGAAGAAUCAAAGACUCUUAAAACAACAAAGGAAUUGCCUCGUAUUCAAAUAGCUAGUAGUCUUUUGUUCUCACAAAGUAGUAAUUGUAAACUUAGGAAGUUUUGAGAAGUUCAGAAGUUGAGCAGUGUUUUCAUUAUGCAUUAACGAUAAAAAGGGAUUGUUUAUAUAGUAGGAGGAUUGUGGGUUAGGCUCAAUUAACCAAUCCGGGAAAGGAAAAGCAAUAUUCAAAAUUCAGUCCCAAUUAAUUAAGAAGAGUAAAAUAACCGGUAAAAGGAAAAGAAAUAUUUUUUUUCAAAAAAUCAGAGUCAAUAUGGGGUCAAUAUAUCAGCCAAUUACUCACAAAUCAGUCCAAAAUUAACAGAGCAUGUAUUUAUCAAAAUCAAUCAACAAUAAUCAAUUAACAUCGAGUUACCAUAAAUAGAUAAAAAAAACUACUAAUAAUAAUAGUAACACGUAUUACCAUUAGCAUUUAUUGAAAUUGACUGUCAGAUAACAAGAAAUCAGGAUAGAUAAUUCGCCAAUCUACUAAAUUCAAUUUAGUACCGCUAUUUUUAGCCAAGACAAAAGCAGCUUUGAUAUUCAGUCAACGACAAUUAAGUCAUAGCCUCGUUCAAGACCAAGCAGAAGUCAGUAAUUAGGUCAACACUGAAUCAAACAUAACCCAUACGAUUUUUUCACGAGUAAGCAGAAACCAAUAAUUAUUUUCAUUAUAAAUGAUAAAAUUAGGUGUUUUCAUAUAUAACAGACCCAGAGAUGCACAUAAACAAAUAAUUAAAUGAAUUGAAUCAUAAUCCGAAGUUAUAUGUCAUGAAAAUUUAAACAGGUAAACAUGCAAUUUAAGUUUAGAAAGGUCAAAUCGGAUAAUAGUUGUGUUCAUCAAAAGGGACCUUAACGAUCCUCAAGUUCAAUGAGACGUAACCAGUAUGGAAGGGGAGGCCGAAUCACAACUGGUAUGGCCGUUGUGGCUGUUGACGGCGAAGGAGAAUGGGGUUCGGAGGUGCUUGGGGUUGACGGCUGGUAGAGGCGGCUGCAUGGCUAUUUUCACCGAUGGUCGAUGCCACUGGAGGCGCUGUUUGCUGGUGGAAGACGGAAGUUCGACGACGAUGGUGAGGCUGGCUGAGGCGGGGCGAUGACGGAGGGGACACAGUGGCUUGACCAGCAGCGGCUGGUCGCUACGUCGCCGGAGAAGUUGGAGAAGGAUGGUGGUGUUGGAGCGGCAUUUGAUGGCGUUGGCAGUGUUGCUGUUAGUUGGUCGCCGAUCGGAGCUGGAUGGCAACGACGGUGGCUAGGAGAAGGAGGGGGGCUGGAGCGGCUGUUUGGACGGCGA